rnacentral:rRNA from 1 species
UACGGAGGGUGCAAGCGUUAUCCGGAUUCACUGGGUUUAAAGGGUGCGUAGGCGGGCAGGUAAGUCGGGGGUGAAAUCUCCGGGCUUAACCCGGAAACUGCCGUUGAUACUAUCUGUCUUGAAUAUCGUGGAGGUGAGCGGAAUAUGUCAUGUAGCGGUGAAAUGCUUAGAUAUGACAUAGAACACCCAUUGCGAAGGCAGCUCGCUACACGGUUAUUGACGCUGAGGCACGAAAGCGUGGGGAUCAAACAGG